rnacentral:tRNA from 1 species
GGCCCCGUAGUCUAAUGGUAGAACGCAUCGUUGACUUCGAUAAAGCCCAAGUUCGAUUCUUGGCGGGGCCA